AGCGGAAUAUUUGUAACAUCAAUAAGUCUACAAUAAUUAUUCUUGGCAUGAAAGUCAUUUCAACAUAAAAUUCAAUCACAAAGGGCUACAUCAGCAAUAUUUCAAAAAUGAUACAUAGGAAAGAAUUCAAGCAAUAAAAUCCCAUCCCACGUAUCAGAGCCCUAGACACUGUGAGCCACCACCUACUACUCAGGAUCACCUGCAAGUUACCCAUAGGAAUGGCAACAUUUUCAAGCAGAAGGGGUGAGAUUCUCAAACAAUAAUAAUAAUAUAUAAUAACAUAAAUGAAUCUAACACCCUAUCAUCAUAAAUCAUUCAGCAAUUAUAGUAUAGCAUCAUUAGCAACUUCAUCAUCCAACAGUAAUCGAAAUAGUAAACAAUGACUCAUGCGACAACCCGACUUCACCUCUAAGACUCAUGCAGGACAUGACAACUCUACUAAGACUCCUCAACAAUUGCAACUAUGCAUGUGGUACCAUAACAGAGCCGAAGCCCUCACCUUUAUAGAAUGGUUAAACCAUUCUUUUAUCAGGACAUGAGUCCUCAUCAUAACAUCGUUUUGAACAACAUAGUGUUCCAUCGUUUUUGAACGACAAAGCGUUCCAAGACCGAAGUCCUCAUCAUAACAUCAUUUUUAUGCUUAUGCAACUGACUCCACUUGUGUAUAUCUGCAUACAACUCAACGACAAAUGCAUAUGUACUCAUAUGACUCACCACCCCUUAAUGCAACAUGUUUCAUUCACUUGAUUCAAGUAUUCCAACAUCUUCAAAAUUCAUAAAAGUUAACCAACUAAAUAUCAUCAUAAAUUAAGUAGGAUUUUAUGUCUAUACAAAGGUUAUACAAGCUAGAAGGAACACCUAGAAGUACUCAAAAGGAUCCCUUAGUGCACGAAGCAAGGUUCAGAAAAAGGCUGACUAACACUCAGUUCGCUUAAGCGACGGCUAGCUCGCUUAAGCGACCAUCUUACAGUAGGUCUGGGUUCAGUUCGCUUACGGGUCGCUCACGGCUUGCUUAAGCGAAUUCUUGGCAGAAUCAAACUUAAUUUUCGCUUACCAGCUCGAGUGUAGGUCUUGGCAGAAUCUAAUUCCUGGGCAGCUACAUGAAUGUUCGCUUAAGCGACGAGUGCUUCACUUAAGCAACCACUCAUCUGGGCAGGGUAAAAGUUACGAUUUUCAGACUUCUCCUCACUCCAAAAACCCAGUUUUAAUCCCCUGAUCACCCAAAACGUUUUCCAGAAAUGUUUACAAGUCCUAUAUACAAUCAGACAUCAAAAGGAACAGCAACUAAACAUCAACAACAUCAAUUCAGCCCAAUCAAGCAUUCAUUCAGAACUUCCAAAAUUCAUCCAUCAUAUUCUAUUUUCAUUUCAAUUACGAUCAAUAUCAACAACAUGGAUUAAGAAAUCAUACUAAUCAUUCAAAUACAACAUUAUAAACCUGAUUCUUACACCUUUUCUUUCAAAAUCAUCAUUAACCCUUAUUUUCCCAAUUUUACCUUAGGAACAGUUUAAUUGAUUAACUUUCAGAAAUUACAUAUUAUGACUAUUGAAAGAUAAUCCCACCCUUACCUUAGAAUUGCAAAGACA
rnacentral:lncRNA from 1 species